GACGUAGGGUGCGAGCGUUGUCCGGAUUUAUUGGGCGUAAAGAGCUCGUAGGCGGCUCGUCGCGUCGACCGUGAAAACCCGCGGCUUAACUGCGGGCUUGCGGUUGAUACGGGCGGGCUAGAGUUCGGUAGGGGAGACUGGAAUUCCUGGUGUAGCGGUGAAAUGCGCAGAUAUCAGGAGGAACACCGGUGGCGAAGGCGGGUCUCUGGGCAUCUCCUGACGCUGAGGCGCGAAAGCGUGGGGAGCAAACGGG
rnacentral:rRNA from 1 species